AGCAUUGGCACAGGGACAGUACUGAAGCCAGUGAGGUUUGUUCAAGGUGUGACUGUUGUUAAUUAAAAACGUUCCCCUGUACCCUGCUGUGAAGACUUGCAAUAGUCAACAGGGGCAAUUUUUGCCUGUCUCUAUGGAGA
ensembl:snRNA U4 U4 spliceosomal RNA